UACGUAGGGGGGCAAGCGUUUGUCCGGAUUUAUUGGGCGUAAAGAGCGUGUAGGCGGCCAGACAAGUCUGCUGUGAAAACUCGAGGCUCAACCUCGAGCUGUCGGUGGAAACUGUCUGGCUAGAGUCCGGAAGAGGAGAGUGGAAUUCCUGGUGUAGCGGUGAAAUGCGCAGAUAUCAGGAGGAACACCCUAUAGGCGAAGGCAGGCACUCUGG
rnacentral:rRNA from 1 species